AUUCAUAAUCCUGGCUAAAUUUAUGUUAUCGUUCAGCAUCCAUACUUACACUCAUUUACCAUGCUAUCAUUCACCCCUGAAACAAACUUACUCAUCUUAGCACUGUUGUGUGCAACCACAUGGGGGGCAUAUCUAGAUAAUUGAGUACACCUGAGAGAAUAUUAUUUCACCAUCAUAUUCCUUUGCCUGAGGUUAAUAAACUCUAGCACCUUAUCCUUCCUCAGCUCUUGGGGAAAGAAUCUGUCUAAG
rnacentral:lncRNA from 1 species